GAAAAACACGCAGACGCCUGUACACAGUCACUGUCCUAUAGUAACUGCUGCAUGGGUUGAAAUUACCCAAGAUAAAACUUGGGGUGAAACAGAGACGUCCCCUGCGUGAUUGUGCAGGGCCACAGGUGCCUGGGGAGCACUCACCCAGCACACCAACCCGGGACAUCUACAGCAGCCGCACUAUAAGCAAAGGUGUCUGUGGCCAUGACACAGGAGGGUGUUUAACAGAUCUCGGUGGCCUGAGAAACUGAGGGGGCCAAGUGGCCUGUGUGAUAGGGCUCUAUCUUUCACCACGCAGCUAGUCUGUGCCAGGCCCUGUGCCAGGGUGUGGGCAUACUUGCCAAAUUGCCCUGAGGGGUGAUUCCUGAUCCAGACCCAGGCAAGGCAGAUGAGACCAGAGGCAGAGAGGGACCCCGGCCAAGUCAGCAGACCCCCGGGCCACCCCCAGGUCCCUCAGGAUGCGUGCAGGGGUGAGGAGUGUGUGUCUGCUCUGCUCUGCUCCAGCUGGUCCAGCUGCCAGCAGGGCUGUACAGAGGGUCCAGGAGAUGCUGUGCGUCUGGCUGGUGCACGGUGGGAAGGCAAAACGACACAGUUACUCUGGAGACUGCUGGCACCUGCUUAUAACACACAUCAGUACUGAGAAUGAAACUCGAGGAGUGCUGAGCCAUAUCCCCACUCUUUUCAGAUUUUGAGUCUGUUGCCCAGGCUGGCCUCCAACUUGAGAUCCUCUGGCCUUACCUCCCAGGGAGCUGAGAUGACCAUAGAGGUGUGCGCUGUCACACUUGGCCUGUAUCUCCAUAGCACAGCCAGGCUCACACACGCAGUGCCAGCACUCUGAAGACCGAGGCAGGAGGAUUCAACUUCAGCCUUACCCUUGUUAGCUUAGCAAGACUCUGACUCCGAUUAAAAAUUAAAAAUAAUAAAGGGCCGGGAGCCAGAUGCCACGGCAUAUGCCUGUAAUUCCAGAACUUCUGGCAAACCAAGGCAGGAGGGUCCCAAGUUCCAGGCUAGCCUGAGCAAUUUAGUAAGCUCUACUUAAGAUGAAAUAUAAAAAGGGCUAGGAAUAACUCAGUGUGAAGGUCCUGGGUUCAAUCCAAGA